UAAGUAGGGCGUGAAAGCGUGUGGCUCAACCAUAUACACAUGUCCUAAACUACUAAGCUAGAAUAUAGAAGAGGUCGCUGGAAUUCCUUGUGCAGGAGUGAAAUCCGUAGAUAUAAGGAGGAACACCGAUGGCGUAGGCAGGCGACUGGUCUACUAUUGACACUAAGGCACGAAAGCGUGGGUAGCAAACGGGAUUAGAUACCCCGGUAGUCCACGCCGUAAACUAUGGAUGCUA
rnacentral:rRNA from 1 species